UACGGAGGGGGCUAGCGUUGUUCGGAAUUACUGGGCGUAAAGCGCACGUAGGCGGAUCAGCCAGUCAGAGGUGAAAGCCCAGGGCUCAACCUUGGAAUUGCCUUUGAUACUGUUGAUCUGGAGUCCGGGAGAGGUGUGUGGAAUUCCGAGUGUAGAGGUGAAAUUCGCAGAUAUUCGGAGGAACACCAGAGGCGAAGGCGACACACUGGACCGGUACUGACGCUGAGGUGCGAAAGCGUGGGGAGCAAAC
rnacentral:rRNA from 1 species